CAGGACUCCCAGUCCCAGUAAGGUUGUUUGGAGCAUUAACUCCACCUCCUUGUCUGUCCAGACAAAAUUGUUGGCUUUUGCUGUUUGCUUUGCCAUGUUUUGGUUGCGUGCUACUAGGGAGAGAAGUAGAAGGAAGGUUCUACGCAGGGGCGUGGUCUUGGUGUGCAUAAUACAUCGAAUUUCACACACUUUUGCGUCACCAUAUGCACACAGAUUUCCCCUCUAAAACGCUCGUCUAAACGCGG